AAUGAACGUUGGUGGCGUGGAUUAGGCAUGCAAGUCGAGCGACAAGGCCCUUCGGGGCUGGAGGAGCGGCAAACGGGGUAGUAAGGCGUCGGAACGUACCCUUCACUCAGGGAUAGCGGCGGGAAACUGCCGGUAAUACCUGAUAAUCUCUGGCGAGCAAAGGUCUGCCGGUGAAGGAGUGGCCGACGUGGUAUUAGGUAGUUGGCGGGGUAAUGGCCCACCAAGCCUCAGAUGCCUAGGGGGUGUGAGAGCACGACCCCCACCACUGGGACUGAGACACUGCCCAGACACCUACGGGUGGCAG
rnacentral:rRNA from 1 species